rnacentral:rRNA from 1 species
CCUACGGGUGGCUGCAGUGGGGAAUAUUGGGCAAUGGGCGAAAGCCUGACCCAGCAACGCCGCGUGAAGGAAGAAGGCUUUCGGGUUGUAAACUUCUUUUCUGAGGGAAGAAGAAAGUGAUGGUACCUCAGGAAUACGCCACGGCUAACUACGGGCCAGCCGCCGAGGGAAUACGUAGGUGGCAAGCGUUAUCCGGAUUUAUUGGGUGUAAAGGGAGUGUAGGCGGGGAAGCAAGUCAGAUGUGAAAACUUCGGGCUCAACCCUGGGCCUGCAUUUGAAACUGUUUUUCUUGAGUGCUGGAGAGGCAAGCGGAAUUCCGUGUGUAGCGGUGAAAUGCGUAGAUAUACGGAGGAACACCAGUGGCGAAGGCGGAUUGCUGGACAGUAACUGACGCUGAGGCGCGAAAGCGUGGGGAGCAAACAGGAUUAGAUACCCGUGUAGUC